UUGAAACUUGAAUCGUAGCAUUGAGAACUGUUGCUGACCUGUUAAAGGGUAUGUGCACGUUCGACGUGUUGCGUUCUAUUCAUCCACCUGUGCACCUUUAUUUCUUGUUGCCUUGGCGGGUCUAGGGGGAGACCCCGGGGGCCUCGCGGCCCCGCCCGCCAGGGGGACAGCCCUUAAACUCUUUGUUAACCGGGUCGUCUGAGAAAACAAAACAAAUGAAUUA
rnacentral:misc_RNA from 1 species